CACCUGGUAGCACAUACAUGUCAUUACAAUACAAGUCGAAACUUUCAAAAGUUCCUUCAAAACAAAUUAAAACGUUAAAAAACGGAGAUCGGUGGUUUCAGGUGAAGUUUUCACGUGUACCUGGCGUCCUGGCCAACUAGGUGCUCGUGACAAUAGAAAUAAAAUUGCCUAAAAUCCAAUAAUCCAAGUUCGCAAGCUAUGUCUUCUGAAGCUAAACAAUUUAUGUUGCAAGAUUUUGUAAAUCUUCAAGAUAUUGAUAUCUUCGCCAGAUCCAAUUCUUUGAUGCUAUCUAUUUUGCGGCACAGCAAGAAAAUGCUGCCACUUAAGAUUUUGUGGUAAUCGCCACUUAGUUCUAAUUUAGGAGGACAAUGUAAGAUUGAUAGAUUCGAGGUUAAUCUGUCUCCUCUGUUUGGGAAACCGACAAGAGAUUGCUGGAAUUGAAGACUGAUAAUUUGUGAAGGUGUAGACAAAUUAAAAGUGUUAAUCUGGGCUUCCUUCUUUUCUGUGGCCCCGUUUCCCUUCUACUAACCACUAACCAACGCCCGCCGGUGGUCACUCACCCGCUGUGAUAACCAGGAGGAUGAGGAGGGCUCUGGUCAAACGGGGACUUAGAAGGCUGAUGAUCUGAGAAAAACUUUUGGAGGGUCAUGAGUCUAAACGGGAAUCCUGCUAUGACUAAUCGCUCCCUAGCAAAACUGGCCUCGUACUCUUCUCUCUUCUUCACCGGCCAGGUUUAUCGUUUAUGUUCCUGUAAUUGCUGUCCGAUGUACCGCGUUGUUGCAGCCUAUGCUGGUGAAAGCUCUUAUUGCAUGAAGUUAAACUGACUGUUCCUUGGUCCUGCUGUCAUGUUAUCGAAGUUGCAUCAUUAUUUUGUUAAAUUGUCCUUGUGUCUUACCGCUUAUGUGUUAAGAAGGAACAAAAGUAGAUAUAUGGGGAUGUUUUAUGUCAAACAAAUAAUAAAAUGUUUUCGGGAUUGGGAUAGGAAAGUAGAGGAUGUUGGAGGUGGGUGAGGAUAUUUCAAGUUUGGAAAAAAAAAAUCAGUUAAUCUAUAACCCUACAAACAUAUCCCUACCAACUAAUCUGCAAACCCCACAAACACACACCUACCAACUUCUAAAUUUAUACCCUAAACCCCAUAAACCAAUAUUAUACCUUAACGAUGUAAUAU